GACGGAGGGUGCUAGCGUUGUUCGGAAUCACUGGGCGUAAAGGGCUCGUAGGCGGCCAACUAAGUCGGAUGUGAAAUCCCCAGGCUUAACCUGGGAACUGCAUCCGAUACUGGAUGGCUUGAAUCCGGGAGAGGGAUGCAGAAUUCCAGGUGUAGCGGUGAAAUUCGUAGAUAUUCGCAAGAACACCAGUGGCGAAGGCGGCUCACUGGCCCGGUACUGACGCUGAGGCACGAAAGCGUGGGGAGCAAACAGG
rnacentral:rRNA from 1 species